CUGGGAGGACCAUCUCCUAAGGCUAAAUACUCUCUAGUGACCGAUAGUGAACCAGUACCGUGAGGGAAAGGUGAAAAGCACCCCGGAAGGGGAGUGAAAUAGAACCUGAAACCGUGUGCUUACAAGUAGUCAGAGCCCGUUAAUGGGUGAUGGCGUGCCUUUUGUAGAAUGAACCGGCGAGUUACGAUUUGAUGCAAGGUUAAGCAGUAAAUGUGGAGCCGUAGCGAAAGCGAGUCUGAAUAGGGCGUUUAGUAUUUGGUCGUAGACCCGAAACCAGGUGAUCUACCCUUGGUCAGGUUGAAGUUCAGGUAACACUGAAUGGAGGACCGAACCGACUUACGUUGAAAAGUGAGCGGAUGAACUGAGGGUAGCGGAGAAAUUCCAAUCGAACCUGGAGAUAGCUGGUUCUCUCCGAAAUAGCUUUAGGGCUAGCCUCAAGUGAUGAUUAUUGGAGGUAGAGCACUGUUUGGACGAGGGGCCCCUCUCGGGUUACCGAAUUCAGACAAACUCCGAAUGCCAAUUAAUUUAACUUGGGAGUCAGAACAUGGGUGAUAAGGUCCGUGUUCGAAAGGGAAACAGCCCAGACCACCAGCUAAGGUCCCAAAAUAUAUGUUAAGUGGAAAAGGAUGUGGCGUUGCCCAGACAACUAGGAUGUUGGCUUAGAAGCAGCCAUCAUUUAAAGAGUGCGUAAUAGCUCACUAGUC
rnacentral:rRNA from 1 species